UCUCUGGCAGGAGUAAUGUAGACAUCGGCUCGAGCUGAUACUGUAGAUACAGGUUUAGGUUCGUUAGGAACACACUGAGCUGUUGAAAUGCGAACGGACUGAAUGAAAAGCGCCGAGAUGACUUUUGCUCCUGGAGUUCGCUCUGUUUUCUUCAGAGGAUUUUCACUUGCGUUAAUGCUGUUAUCGACAUGCUCGCGCAGCGAUCUCGCUGAUAUUACUGUUCAUGGCACGGAUGGAGAAGCAGCAUCUCUUCCCUGCAAGUGUCCUCCGGACUGGCCUCCGUAUCUGGUCUGGCAGAAGGUCGCUGGUGAACAGCGGCUCGUGGUUAAUUACUACAAAGAUGACGACCAAGAAGGCAACCUCAUGGCAUCCGAGUUCAGGAACAGAACGGAGCUGAAGCUGAGAGGAAACUGUUCUCUAGUGUUUCACAGAGUGAGUCUGUCAGACCAGGGACUGUACGAGUGCUUCUAUAAGAUAUCACCGUUAAGUCUUGAAAAAAUCCAUCUGGUCAUCAGAGAAAAACAACAACAAAUACCCGGUCAGAAGGUCCAGAGCACCCUUGUGACUUCAGUUUGCGUGUUUCUCAUCAUUGUCAUCGCAAUUGCUGCUCUAUAUGUGGGAAUUACUUGCAGAAAUAGACAUCAAAUGAGAAGAACAUUUAUUGCAACAUCAAGCAGGAGCAUUUAACAGCUGUCAAUUCAGAGCAAGAUCUAGAUCUAUAGCUACUUUUGAGUGGCUUUUCACCGAUGAUAGCAAAUGC
ensembl:lncRNA